GAUGAACGCUGACAGAAUGCUUAACACAUGCAAGUCGAUGGGGAAGUGGUGCUUGCACCAUGGUAACCAUGGCGGACGGGUGAGUAACGCGUAAGGAACUUGCCUGCGGGACUGGGAUAACAGCAGGAAACUGCUGAUAAUACCGGAUAAGGUCAUUAAGCUGCAUAGCUUAGUGAUGAAAGGAGACGCCUGCGGAGAGCCUUGCGUCCUAUUAGCUAGUUGGAGGGGUAACGGCCCACCAAGGCGAAGAUAGGUAGCCGGCCUGAGAGGGUGGACGGCCACAAGGGGACUGAGAUACGGCCCUUACUCCUACGGGAGGCAGCAGUGGGGAAUAUUGGACAAUGGGGGCAACCCUGAUCCAGCAAUUCUGUGUGCACGAAGACGGUUUUCGGAUUGUAAAGUGCUUUCGGCAGGGAAGAAGGAAGUGACGGUACCUGCAGAAGAAGCGACGGCUAAAUACGUGCCAGCAGCCGCGGUAAUACGUAUGUCGCGAGCGUUAUCCGGAAUUAUUGGGCAUAAAGGGCAUCUAGGCGGCCUUUCAAGUCAGGGGUGAAAACCUGCGGCUCAACCGCAGGCCUGCCUUUGAAACUGAUAGGCUGGAGUACCGGAGAGGUGGACGGAACUGCACGAGUAGAGGUGAAAUUCGUAGAUAUGUGCAGGAAUGCCGAUGAUGAAGAUAGUUCACUGGACGGUAACUGACGCUGAAGUGCGAAAGCCGGGGGAGCGAACAGG
rnacentral:rRNA from 1 species